GUGGGGAAUCUUGCGCAAUGGGCGAAAGCCUGACGCAGCCAUGCCGCGUGGAUGAUGAAGGUCUUAGGAUUGUAAAAUCCUUUCACCGGUGAAGAUAAUGACUGUAGCCGGAGAAGAAGCCCCGGCUAACUUCGUGCCAGCAGCCGCGGUAAUACGAAGGGGGCUAGCGUUGCUCGGAUUUACUGGGCGUAAAGGGCGCGUAGGCGGACAUUUAAGUCAGGGGUGAAAUCCCGGGGCUCAACCUCGGAACUGCCUUUGAUACUGGGUGUCUUGAGUAUGAGAGAGGUGUGUGGAACUCCGAGUGUAGAGGUGAAAUUCGUAGAUAUUCGGAAGAACACCAGUGGCGAAGGCGACACACUGGCUCAUUACUGACGCUGAGGCGCGAAAGCGUGGGGAGCAAACAGGAUUAGAAACCCGAGUAGUCC
rnacentral:rRNA from 1 species